AUUGAACGCUGGCGGCAGGCCUAACACAUGCAAGUCGAGCGGAUGAAGGGAGCUUUCUCCUGGAUUCAGCGGCGGACGGGUGAGUAAUUCCUAGGAAUCUGCCUGGUCUUGGGGGAUAACGUCCGGAAACGGGCGCUAAUACCGCAUACGUCCUGAGGUAGAAAGUGGGGGAUCUUCGGACCUCACGCUAUCAGAUGAGCCUAGGUCGGAUUAGCUAGUUGGUAGGGUAAAGGCCUACCAAGGCGACGAUCCGUAACUGGUCUGAGAGGAUGAUCAGUCACACUGGAACUGAGACACGGUCCAGACUCCUACGGGAGGCAGCAGUGGGGAAUAUUGGACAAUGGGCGAAAGCCUGAUCGAGCCAUGCCGCGUGUGUGAAGAAGGUCUUCGGAUUGUAAAGCACUUUAAGUUGGGAGGAAGAGCAGUAAGUUAAUACAUUGCUGUUUUGACGUUACCAACAGAGUAAGCACCGGCUAACUUCGUG
rnacentral:rRNA from 1 species